UGGUAAUGCCGGAUGUUCCACAUGAUCGCAUGUGAUUGUGGGAAAGAUUCUAUCGGCGUGGGAUGGGGUCGCGUCCUAUCAGCUUGUUGGUGAGGUAACGGCUCACCAAGGCUUCGACGGGUAGCCGGCCUGAGAGGGCGACCGGCCACAUUGGGACUGAGAUACGGCCCAGACUCCUACGGGAGGCAGCAGUGGGGAAUAUUGCACAAUGGGCGCAAGCCUGAUGCAGCGACGCCGCGUGAGGGAUGGAGGCCUUCGGGUUGUAAACCUCUUUUGUUUGGGAGCAAGCCUUCGGGUGAGUGUACCUUUCGAAUAAGCGCCGGCUAACUACGUGCCAGCAGCCGCGGUAAUACGUAGGGCGCAAGCGUUAUCCGGAUUUAUUGGGCGUAAAGGGCUCGUAGGCGGCUCGUCGCGUCCGGUGUGAAAGUCCAUCGCUUAACGGUGGAUCUGCGCCGGGUACGGGCGGGCUGGAGUGCGGUAGGGGAGACUGGAAUUCCCGGUGUAACGGUGGAAUGUGUAGAUAUCGGAAAAGAACACCA
rnacentral:rRNA from 1 species